rnacentral:rRNA from 2 species
UUUAUGGAGAGUUUGAUCCUGGCUCAGGAUGAACGCUGGCGGCGUGCCUAAUACAUGCAAGUCGAGCGAACAGACAAGGAGCUUGCUCCUUUGACGUUAGCGGCGGACGGGUGAGUAACACGUGGGUAACCUACCUAUAAGACUGGGAUAACUUCGGGAAACCGGAGCUAAUACCGGAUAAUAUUUCGAACCGCAUGGUUCGAUAGUGAAAGAUGGUUUUGCUAUCACUUAUAGAUGGACCCGCGCCGUAUUAGCUAGUUGGUAAGGUAACGGCUUACCAAGGCGACGAUACGUAGCCGACCUGAGAGGGUGAUCGGCCACACUGGAACUGAGACACGGUCCAGACUCCUACGGGAGGCAGCAGUAGGGAAUCUUCCGCAAUGGGCGAAAGCCUGACGGAGCAACGCCGCGUGAGUGAUGAAGGUCUUCGGAUCGUAAAACUCUGUUAUUAGGGAAGAACAUACGUGUAAGUAACUGUGCACGUCUUGACGGUACCUAAUCAGAAAGCCACGGCUAACUACGUGCCAGCAGCCGCGGUAAUACGUAGGUGGCAAGCGUUAUCCGGAAUUAUUGGGCGUAAAGCGCGCGUAGGCGGUUUUUUAAGUCUGAUGUGAAAGCCCACGGCUCAACCGUGGAGGGUCAUUGGAAACUGGAAAACUUGAGUGCAGAAGAGGAAAGUGGAAUUCCAUGUGUAGCGGUGAAAUGCGCAGAGAUAUGGAGGAACACCAGUGGCGAAGGCGACUUUCUGGUCUGUAACUGACGCUGAUGUGCGAAAGCGUGGGGAUCAAACAGGAUUAGAUACCCUGGUAGUCCACGCCGUAAACGAUGAGUGCUAAGUGUUAGGGGGUUUCCGCCCCUUAGUGCUGCAGCUAACGCAUUAAGCACUCCGCCUGGGGAGUACGACCGCAAGGUUGAAACUCAAAGGAAUUGACGGGGACCCGCACAAGCGGUGGAGCAUGUGGUUUAAUUCGAAGCAACGCGAAGAACCUUACCAAAUCUUGACAUCCUUUGACAACUCUAGAGAUAGAGCCUUCCCCUUCGGGGGACAAAGUGACAGGUGGUGCAUGGUUGUCGUCAGCUCGUGUCGUGAGAUGUUGGGUUAAGUCCCGCAACGAGCGCAACCCUUAAGCUUAGUUGCCAUCAUUAAGUUGGGCACUCUAAGUUGACUGCCGGUGACAAACCGGAGGAAGGUGGGGAUGACGUCAAAUCAUCAUGCCCCUUAUGAUUUGGGCUACACACGUGCUACAAUGGACAAUACAAAGGGCAGCGAAACCGCGAGGUCAAGCAAAUCCCAUAAAGUUGUUCUCAGUUCGGAUUGUAGUCUGCAACUCGACUACAUGAAGCUGGAAUCGCUAGUAAUCGUAGAUCAGCAUGCUACGGUGAAUACGUUCCCGGGUCUUGUACACACCGCCCGUCACACCACGAGAGUUUGUAACACCCGAAGCCGGUGGAGUAACCAUUUGGAGCUAGCCGUCGAAGGUGGGACAAAUGAUUGGGGUGAAGUCGUAACAAGGUAGCCGUAUCGGAAGGUGCGGCUGGAUCACCUCCUUU